rnacentral:RNase_P_RNA from 1 species
GCCCAGAAACGACACAGCUUCGGUAAACAGGAUGAUCUGUUCGGCAGUGACAUUCCCGAAGAUUUGGUGAAACGGCGACACCCCACCGGAGCAAGCCCAAACGGCCGGGAUGAUUUGCUCAGGACCGGCGGGUAGGGUGCGAUAGUUGAAUGCCGCUUAAAACAGAAGGGGGGCUACUCCCAUCACCU